rnacentral:rRNA from 1 species
UACGGAAGGUCCUGGCGUUAUCCGGAUUUAUUGGGUUUAAAGGGAGCGUAGGCGGGAUGCUAAGAGUGCUGUGAAAUACCGCGGCUCAACCGUGGGAGUGCAGCGCGAACUGGCUUCCUUGAGUAGGCGGGAGGUACGCGGAAUUCGUGGUGUAGCAGUGAAAUGCUUAGAUAUCACGAGGAACCCCAAUUGCGAAGGCAGCGUGCCGCAGCCUCACUGACGCUGAAGCUCGAAGGUGCGGGUAUCGAAC